UCCUUUAAAAACCCUGUGUUUUGUGGCGUUCGGGGAGCGGAGAAUGUUCCUCUAUGGGGAUGGAUCGGGCUCCUGUGCAAGUUUAAAUGUACUUGUCUGUUUGGCGUGAUCGCACUGGACCAGUGUCUGCGGGAUGAGACAUCUUACUUGCGAAUUCGUUUGAGGAAGUGCGGUUGCGUUGACUACGACCUGGAGCUGUGGAGCUGAGUGGUGAUCCGAGAGUAGAGGACCAAGAGAGCAUUGGUACAAUGCACAACUAGGAGCUUUAGCUCCACCAAUGGCUGUGAUGAUCCUGUCUGCCUGUCUGCCUUUCGACACUAUCUUUUACUGCAGAUAAAAGCCAUGUCAACCUGAAGUGUGGGUGUCCGUGUGCCUUUCUUCUGAAGGGCUAUGUGAAGUUGGUUACAAAAUUGGAGCCGUGACCUGGGUCUACAAGAUCAUCCAUCACUGGGAAUACAGCAGUGCUCCAGAGAAGAGGACUACACCUGCUGUUAACUUCAAGAGACAGUCAAUUUGAAUAUCCACCAUGAAUAACAUAUCCACACCAAAAUAUCCAGGUACUCUGGUCAAGCCAAAUGGUGAUUCAGCACUUUUACAGGUGAGUGAUGUCACGAAACGACUCAAGGUUCAUAACAAAAAGGAGACAAGGAAUAACAAAAUAUAUUUAUUAACUAAAGUAAAUACAAUACAAUUAACAAUGGUGUGUGUGUAGUCAGUAAUAAGUAGUGUGAGUGGUUGCGUGCAUAAAUGUGAUAAUGAGGGGUGUUGAAAGGUGGCAACGCAAACAGCCACAAACCACAAUCAGUGUCUGCAUGGAGAGUACCCAAUGAAUGGGGAAGAGGUGCAUUUAUCCUGGGACACACCCGAGCCAAGGUGUCCCAUUUCGCUGACAACCCUCCCCGUUCUGCCCACCGACAUCCUAUUUAAAGGAAAAUCAGUAAAGAGAGAGAAUUCGUCGACCCCCCCCAUAAAACCAGGGACCAACAAGGACCUCGGAACACCAUACCAGUAACGCAAACAAAUUGACCCAGCCUCUGAGUCCCAAAUUGAUUAGGGGGUGUAAAGAAUUGCUAUUUUCUUAUGCAAGUGAUCAGCCUACUGCUAAAUACAUGGCUACAACUCACAGUAAAGCCUGUGGGGUCCCCUACAGGAAAGCUCCCACAUUACACACUGACUGCCAAACCAGCGCACACACAUAGUCUCCUUUAGCUGAACAUUGUGUGACGGCGGGAUUCUAGAGUGACGGACGGCCCAGCUGAGCCAAUGGCGGAAGACUACAGACUACACCCCAGCUGAACCAAUCCAAAGAUCCGAUCUCCCAGGA